AUUGAACGCUGGCGGCAGGCUUAACACAUGCAAGUCGAGCGAGCGGCGGACGGGUGAGUAAUGUCUGGGAAACUGCCUGAUGGAGGGGGAUAACUACUGGAAACGGUAGCUCAUACCGCAUACCCUCAGAUGUGCCCAGAUGGGAUUAGCUAGUAGGUGGGGUAAUGGAGCACCUAGGCGACGAUCCCUAGCUGGUCUGACAGGAGGACCAGCCACACUGGAACUGAGACACGGUCCAAACUACUACGGGAGGCAGCAGUGGGAAAUAGUGCACAAUGGGCGAAAGCCUGAUGAAGCAAUGCCGCGUGUGUGAAGAAGGCCUUCGGGUUGUAAAGCACGUUCAGCGAGGAGGCGUUACUCGCAGAAGAAGCACCGGCUAACUCCGUGCCAGCCGCCGCGGUAAUUC
rnacentral:rRNA from 1 species